CUACGGGAGGCAGCAGUGGGGAAUAUUGGACAAUGGGCGAAAGCCUGAUCCAGCCAUACCGCGUGUGUGAAGAAGGUCUUCGGAUUGUAAAGCACUUUAAGUUGGGAGGAAGGGCAGUAAGUUAAUACCUUGCUGUUUUGACGUUACCAACAGAAUAAGCNCCGGCUAACUUCGUGCCANCAGCCNCGGUAAUACGAAGGGUGCAAGCGUUAAUCGGAAUUACUGGNCGUAAAGCGCGCGUAGGUGGUUCAGCAAGUUGGAUGUGAAAUCCCCGGGCUCAACCUGGGAACNGCAUCCAAAACUACUGAGCUAGAGUACGGUAGAGGGUGGUGGAAUUUCCUGUGUAGCGGUGAAAUGCGUAGAUAUAGGAAGGAACACCAGUGGCGAAGGCGACCAGCCUGGAGCUGAUACUGACAGCUGAGGUGCGAAACGCGUGGGGAGCAAACA
rnacentral:rRNA from 1 species